AGAGUUUGAUCCUGGCUCAGGACGAACGCUGGCGGUGCGCCUUAUGCAUGCAAGUUGAGCGAAGCUUUUCAGUAGUUUACUACAGAAAAUGACUGAGCGGCGAACGGGUGAGUAACGCGUUCCGAGCAAUCUACCUUAGUUACUGGGAUAGCCCGAGGAAACUCGGAUUAAUACCAGAUAUUCUUAUUUUUUCACAUGAAGUUUUAAGGAAAGGUCAGCCGAACUAAGAUGAGCUCGCGUUCUAUCAGCUAGAAAUUGGUGGGGUAAAAGCCUACCAAGGCUACGACGGAUAGCUGGUCUGAGAGGACGAUCAGCCACACUGGGACUGAGACACGGCCCAGACUCCUACGGGAGGCUGCAGCAGGGAAUAUUGUGCAAUGAGCGACUAAAGCUUGACACAGCGACACCGCGUGUGGGAUGACGGUUCUAGGAUUGUAAACCACUUUCAGGAGGGAAGAAAAUGACGGUACCUCCACAAGAAGACCCGGCCAACUAUGUGCCAGCAGCCGCGGUAAU
rnacentral:rRNA from 1 species